rnacentral:lncRNA from 1 species
GGAAAUUUUGUUCUGAUUAAGCUUAAGAGCUCAAGUGUUGAAUCAAUUUACCUGUCAAUAGACAUCGAGUUUGCAUUGCUCUGUAUUGACCGUACUCCUGAGAUUUUAUAUAUUGAUGUCCGGAAUGCUUGUUCCCAUCUUUCCCUUUGGAGGCUGAAUCAGACUCCAUUAGUUGAAUACUUGAUAAUAAGCUUGCUGAUAACAUUAAUGUUCGGAGAAUACUGACUCCUUUGCUUCAUUUUCUUCUUGGAUUUAGAUAUCGUGUGAGAGCAUGAACCCUGGGCUUUGUUCUUUAUACCUAUCAUUUGACAAAAGACACACUUGAUUGAGGUUUAAAUGGCUCCACCUGUUCAAUUUUUAUAGGGUCAUUUAAUUAAUUAAGCCGAUACAUGCUCUAUUCCAAUGACAAAAACUCUAUAUGCAUCGGUAUAUUGAAGUCUUUUUUCUUGAGGUUUCCCUUGGUCAUUUUAUCAUGAUCAUUUCUUAUAUAUUACUUUCUUGCUAUUUGUCCUUGGCCGGAUAGUUUGAUGUCUCAGAUCAAGUCAAUGUUUGAUGAAUUGAAGUCAGAACAUGAGAAGGACAGGUAAAUUUUCAAAUCGCUACAUGCAUUUGUUAACUUUGCUUCGUUAUAAUGUUUAUAUCUAAUGAAUACGUUCUUUACGUAGUCAAUUUCUUGUGGAGUUACUUCAACAGAGUUUCAGAGUAAGUGAGGAAAAAUAUAAUAUUUUUAUUCUUUUGAACAAGGUUUACCUUGGUGAUGCAAUUUUUGCCGAGAGAGAAUUCACUCGAUGUAUUGAUGAUUUGCAGCCUGAAAGUAGUGUCAGCAUUGCAGACGUCAAGUUCCAUGAACUUAAUGAGAAGUUAUGUGAGGAUAAAGCUUCUCAUCAGCAAGCCCGUUUGCAGGCUUUAGAUGGUAACUUUAUUGGUUGCAAGUUGUUUAUAGGCAAAAACCAUGUACAUUGGGAUCUUAAUAAUACAAUGAAAAUGUAGAUAGAGAUAAGGUUUCGCAAUUUGAGAGAAUGCUUGAAAAACUGUAUAUUUCCCUUAUAAAUUAGUGUAACAUACGCACCUUCAUCUUAAUAGAAAUAUACCUAGUGACCAUGAUUGAGACUUCUUCGAGUUUUUUUUCCCAAUAGAAUGUUUUUGGCCAGUUUGAUCACAUAUUUGGUUAUGUUGGCCAUGUCCUUUCCCAUCAUAUUGUCAUUUGUUUGCUUCUAUAGAUAUUUUUUCCAAAUUUGAGGAGGCGAAGGAAAGGUUUAUCAUGCAAUAUGAUCAAAUAAGUGAGUUCAGAUUCUCUUCUAUUAAUUUCGAUCCCUUAGAACUGAAUCAAACUCGCCUAAUAUUUUAUUGCUAUCAUACUAAGUCUAUUACUUGCUUAUAACAGGUAAGAAGGAGAAGUCUAUGAUAUCUGCACUUGCUGAUAAGGUCGCCAAACUGGAUAAGUCCUUGAAAAUAGAAGAAGAGGCAAGUCAUUUGUUCAAAAUACGGGUUACAUUUUUUGAGUCAGUUCUGUGAAUGUGCACAAUAUGGGUACAUAUGGACCUUUUUUUCGGAAUGCAGAUUGAAGGAGAAUUCAAAACGUUGAUGCAGACACUUUGCUUAUAUCUGUGAACGCCUCAGGUUCCCACAUAUGGUAGUGCCCAAUAAAAUUGUGCUUGGAGCACAACACCAGACAUUCUUUCAUGUCUUUCGACAUGAAGAUUUUGAAUCUGGCGACAUGAAUGAGCUAUCAUCUCUUACUUUGCACUUCUACUGUCGGACAUGUAAUUAUGUAAUUAUGUAAUUAUGGUAGUGCCUAAUAUACUUCUGCCUGAAGCACAACACCAGACAUUCUUCCAGGUCUUUUAACAUGAAGAUUUAGGGCUAGACUUAGUUCUUGUUGCGAGGCAACUGAGCAAUGGUGGCGCGCACGUUUCUCCUUCUGUUGCUAGUGUGCCCUUUCUUUCCCAACAAGGAAUUAACUUGCUCUAUUAGCAUUAGAAAAUUGCGCUCAUAUUAGCCUAGCAUUCAUGAUAUGAACAACUGUACCAGUACCAUUUGCAGAGUAGAGAAGAUUAUGGCAACUGCCAGCUGCUCUAAGUUGUUCGAAUUAGCUAGAUGGGACAAUGGCGGCAUGUUAGGCCGUGCUGUGGGGUUAGACUAAUUUGAUAAAAUGAAAGGUGCACACAAUUUGUACUCUGUUGAGCUUGUUACUUGCUGUAGAAAUCCAAUCUUGUGCCUCCAUAACUGAAAAUUUUGUAUUCUUUUGCUGGCAAUAGUUAAACCUUAUGAGGACCCUGUAUGCUUUACCUGCAACUGAAGUAUUUCUUGUCGAGUACUAUGCAACUUCUGAACGGUCAGCUGAUUAUUUAAGCGGAAAUUCAACUAGUCGCAUCCUCCUCCUUUAUAUUAUAGGCAUUUAGUAGAAAUCUGCCAAGUGAAGAGAACACACUGAUUAGGAGGCGUCAAUGAGAGGUCUUCUUAGAUUCCAAUUUGGCAGCUCAACAGACCGAGAGAUAAAAUGUGAGCUGGGGAAAGCCAAAUACACUUUAGGAUGAACUCCCAGAUCUAUUCAUUACUUUGCUGAAUUGAAUGAAGUUCGAGGGAUCAAAAGUUACAGAUGUUGCGUUUAGGCAUAUGAAGGCGCCCAAUCAGAAAGGGGUUUGCAUCAAACUGGUUUGAUUAAUCACUUGCCACUCCAAGCGUCCCACCUCUUUACCUUCUUGCUUUACCUUGUUAAUUAUUUGCAUCGAGGUAUUAUUGACCUUUUUUUUUCCCAGACUGAUAAAGUGAUUGUCACGAAAUCCCCAAAAUUGCUUUCAAAUUUUUGGCAAAAUAAAAGCCCUUCAAGUGAACGUUAAAAUUAUUCGAUCACAAUGUAGUUGCGGUCAUUCUAUGGGUGAAACCUGCCUUAUUCAAGGAACGUGGAUAGGAUGAUCUGCACACAUUUGUCGCGCCUUAAGAAAAACAUAUAUUUUAUGUGCAUAAAGUUUUUGCAAGCGAAAUUGCCUAAUCAAUCAUAUAACAUAAUAUAGAAAUGUCGAUUUAGCAUUUUAACUUUUUAAUUUUAUCAAUUUAGUUCUAAAAUUUUGCUUACAAUUGUGAUGUAGCUCUUGAUCAACUUUCGCAACAUAGUGAUCUAGUUAUCAUUGCUAAGGAGAAUUACUAAAAAAAAAUUGAAUUUUUUUUUUAGCUAAUUCAAUUUUAAACAUUUUGUAUUUAUGUCAAUUCAAUCCAUACGAUCAAUUUUGAUUAGCAGGAACUGAUAUUAUUUUAAUAAUUUUUUUUUUAUUCUUUUUAAUCCCCUACCUCCCCCUCCCUUAGGGCUAGCAGGUUGCAUUAUUUAGGUGAAAGUGCAAAGUUCCUUGCCUAUAUAUAUGUAGGCAUUUAUUUUUCCUGUUGGGAAAAUUACUGCUUGAGGACCCCAUAAAAGCGUGUAGCAGCGAUUCUAUAGUCGUGAAUUGCACCCUUCACAUAUCACAGUAGACCUGUUCCUUGACGAAGAAACAGGCAUCGCAGUGGGUGAGUUGGAGGACGACAAAAAGGCAAAGUAGCAAUGAUAGGAAGGUGAUAGUGUUCGAAGAAUUCGUGAUCGCUUAUGGUUUGUGUUUGUUCUUUCACUUGAAAAGUAAAUGGAGAUUUUGAUUGUAGCAGGUCAAUUCUCUCGGAGAGAGCUCUUUCUUUAUAAAGCUAAAGAUGGGGAAUGAGAAAAUGUUUGCCUUUUGCAAGGGGAGAUUGAUAGGCGUUGAGGUGUUGAAAGUUGCAGCUAAAAGUCAUGAGGAAGUCAAUUUCUUCUGCAUUUAUAGAAAAUAUCGUGUACCUAGAGUGCCGGAAGAGAUUUUUGUAAAUCCGUUCAUUAGAAAACUCAGGCCAAUUCAUUUCAUUUUUAUUUACGAUGUAAAUGUCAAGUGUAACCCACUUUGUGCAAUGUUGCUUGAAUCGAACCCUGCACAGUAAACGAAUAUUUCCUACUUCUGGCUUCAGAAAAAUCGCAAACAGUGUUACGAACUUCUUUCUUUUUCCUCCCCGUCUCCACAGUAUACCUACUCCCUUUACCUACUCCAUUUACUCUCUCUCUCUCUCUCUCUCUCUCUCUCUCUCUCCUUUUACUCUUUCCCUCUUCUCUCACAUUUUUUCCUUCGAAGUAAAGAAUAAAAGGACCAUAUAUACUAUACAGAGGGAGCAACUCAUAAUGAUAUUCAAAGCUUGUUCAUGAUUUUUGUUCAAGUUAGGAUGGGGCUCAGUCAUGUACCAUGCCAGGUCCGGUAUAGUAACUUUGUGCAAAGUGGGUCAAGACUAGAAGGUGAAUAUGUAUCAUACAAAUGAGAGAAUAAAUGAAAAAGAAAUUCGAAGCCUCAUUUAUGGUUUAUGAAUAAAGUUAGAUGACGGGCAUAAUUAUGUCCUUUGCAGGUUCAGUCCAACCAAGUUUUUGUAAAGUGGAUCUCAUUUGAUAAUUACAUCUUAAAUUAGAAAAUGAAUUGAUUUGGCUUGUGUUGACAACCGAUAUUUUUUUCCUUCGAAAUAAAGAAUAAAAGGACCAUAUGUACUAUACAGAGGGAGCAACUCAUAAUGAUAUUCGAAGUUUGUUCAUGAUUUUCGUUCAAGUUAGGAUGGGGCUCAGUCAUGUACCAUGCUAGGUCCAGUAUAGUAACUUUGUGCAAAGUGGGUCAAGACUAGAAGGAGAAUACGUAUCAUACAAAUGAGAGAAGAAAUGAAAAAGAAAUUCGAAGCCUCAUUUGUGGUUUAUGAAUAAAGUUAGAUGACGGGCAUAAUUAUGUACUUUGCAGGUUCAGUCCAACCAAGUUUUUGUAAAGUGGAUCUCAUUUGAUAAUUACAUCUUUAAAAAAAAAAUGAAUUAAUUUGGCCUGUGCCAACAACCGAUAUUUUUUCCUUCGAAGUAAAGAAUAAAAGGACCAUAUGUACUAUACAGAGGGAGCAACUCAUAAUGAUAUUCGAAGCUUGUUCAUGAUUUUUGUUCAAGUUAGGAUGGGGCUCAGUCAUGUACCAUGCCAGGUCUGGUAUAGUAACUUUGUGCAAAGUGGGUCAAGACUAGAAGGAGAAUAUGUAUCAUACAAAUGAGAGAAGAAAUGAAAAAGAAAUUCAAAGCCUCGUUUGUGGUUUAUGAAUAAAGUUACAUGACGGGCAUAAUUAUGUACUUUGCAGGUUCAGUCCAACCAAGUUUUUGUAAAGUGGAUCUCAUUUGAUAAUUACAUCUUAAAUUAGAAAAUGAAUUGAUUUGGCUUGUGCUGACAACCGAUAUUUUUUCCUUUGAAAUAAAGAAUAAAAGGACCAUAUGUACUAUACAAAGGGAGCAACUCAUAAUGAUAUUCGAAGUUUGUUCAUGAUUUUUGUUCAAGUUAGGAUGGGGCUCAGUAAUGUACCAUGCUAGGUCCAGUAUAGUAACUUUGUGCAAAGUGGGUCAAGACUAGAAGGAGAAUAUGUAUCAUACAAAUGAGAGAAGAAAUGAAAAAGAAAUUCGAAGCCUCAUUUGUGGUUUAUGAAUAAAGUUAGAUGACGGGCAUAAUUAUGUACUUUGCAGGUUCAGUCCAACCAAGUUUUUGUAAAGUGGAUCUCAUUUGAUAAUUACAUCUUAAAUAAAUAAAAAAAAUGAAUUGAUUUGGCCUGUGCCGACAACCGAUAUUUUUUCCUUCGAAGUAAAGAAUAAAAGGACCAUAUGUACUAUACAGAGGAAGCAACUCAUAAUGAUAUUCGAAGCUUGUUCAUGAUUUUUGUUCAAGUUAGGAUGGGGCUUAGUCAUGUACCAUGCCGGGUCCGGUAUAGUAACUUUGUGCAAAGUGGGUCAAGACUAGAAGGAGAAUAUGUAUCAUACAAAUGAGAGAAGAACGAAAAAGAAAUUCGAAGCCUCGUUUGUGGUUUAUGAAUAAAGUUAGAUGACGGGCAUAAUUAUGAGGUUCAAUCCAACCAAGUUUUUGUAAAGUGGAUCUCAUUUGAUAAUUAUAUCUUAAAUAAGAAAAUGAAUUGAUUUGGCCUAUACCGACAACCGAUGAGUGAUUUGUGUAAAGAGGCACUCAAGGAAUACCGAAUAUUUUAUUGUGUAUUUAAUCUUAGAAAAGAGACACAGCAAUAAGAGUUCUAACAGACUAUCGUCUUACUUUGGCGAAGACGACAUUCCCAUUUCAGAGUUAUAAGAUGGAUGGCCAAAUCGCGAGAGUAGAUAUUGCUGAUUAUGAAUGGGAGCCGACAAGGGCCAGAUUGAGAGCACCAAAGUCGGUCAACGAAACCCGCCGCCAAGCAAAAUUCAAAUUUCAUUUGAAUCCAAAGCUACAGGCCGCCGCGGAAGAUGGAGACGUGGACAAGUUCAUCGAAGCCCUCAAAGCAUAUUCCCACAAAGUGGGUGUCUGCUUGUCCAGCAUUUUGGACAUGCGUGGCCCUUCUGGGAACACGUUGCUUCAUGUCGCAGCAGGUCUCAUGGCGGCCGACAUCCUCCAUGCUCUCCUCGAGGUCAUCCAUGACAACCAGCUCGCCACUAAGGUGAACUACCAAGGGGACACUGCACUACAUGUUGCGGCAAGAAAGGGCAGAAUCCGCACGGCCAAGCUCCUACUUAGGUACGACGGCAGUAUUCUAGACAUGGAAAACUACACAGGAAACACGGCAUUGCAUGAGGCUGUGAAGAACAGUUGCCACGACUUGACCCGCCUGCUCCUGCGCCAGGGCUCGAAAUCGGUGUAUAAGAAGAACAAGGGGGGCAAGUGCCCGCUGUACUUGGCAGUAGAGAUGGGGGACUUGGAUGGUCUCAAGUAUUUGAUGGAAAAUGUGGUAGGGCAGGUUAUUCCCUCCCAGAAUAAGGCAUGUCGCCGGUUCACGGAGCCGUGAUUCACAAAAAGAUAGGUUAGUGAUUAUACUGACGGUUCUCACUUGGGUAAAUUUAUUAGUCGGACUAUUUACAUUGUUUGUAUAUGCGUGUCUACUUUGGAUCCAUACUAGCCGUUCAACCUGUAACUCUCAUUCACAGUUUUUGAUCUUCUAGAAUUGUUUGACUUUGUCUAGAGAUUCCAUCGAUUAUUGAAAACUUCUCAUAAAUUUUGUCCCAAAAGAAAGCGGUUACGAUAUGUUUGGACUUGGGUCGUAGCAAGACUUACCCCCUAAAGAAUGUCAUCAACUGAAUACUUCAGUAGUCGAUACCCAUGGUAUAAGCCUUUGUAGAUACUAUACUACUUAUAUUAAUUGUCAAAGACCUUUUCUAAAACAGGAAGAGACCCAUGCCAUGCCUGUCCUUGAUUACUCCCGGUGUGGUAAACUACUUCUUGGAAAUGAAUGUCUCUAUAAUUGGAAGCAUUCUCUAAUGUCUAUACUGAUUUAUCCCCCAAAAGUAAGGAUUUCAAUUGUGUAGUCCAUGUAAUAUCGCAUAUUUGUUUUCUCUUAAGAAAAAUAUAAUUGUCAAAAGGUAAAGUCACUAGACCCUUGGUCAUGAGCAUGACACAAAUUCAUUCUUUUCCCGCUCUCUAACAAUGUAGAUAUGCUGAAAGAGAUGUCAGAGCAGAAUGAAGAUCUGUUUAAUUUAAAAGAUGCUGGAGGUGGUACUCCCCUUCAUCUGGCAGCAUUAAUGAAUUACGUUGAGGGAGUCAAUUUCUUGGUCGACAAGUUUGCUUGGAGCGCCUUUGAGUUUGACAAUGAGGGCUAUCUUCCGAUCCAUGUUGCAUGUAAGAUGGGUCAUGUCAGAACAAUGAGAAAGCUACUUCAACAUUGGCCAAAUCCGGAAGAGUUGCUAGAUCGCAAGGAAGGGCAAAAUAUACUCCACAUUUCGGCGAAGUAUGGAAAGGUUGACGUAGUGGGGUACAUACUCCUAAAGCGCAAGUUUGAGAAGCUUAUAAAUGCAAAAGACAGAGAAGGAAAUACGCCUCUACAUGUGGCCACAUUGCAGUUGCAAUACAUGGUUCUUUCGUGUCUUGUUCUUCACGAUAAAGUUGAUCUUAAGCUCAUAAACGACAACAACUUGACGGCUCUAGAUAUUGCGCUUGAGCUACCAAAAACACAUGGUCGACUACGUGAGGUAAUGGUAUCUACAGAAUGGAUUAACAAUUUAUCUGCUUUUGUUUUUCACUGUUGUUUUAGCUACUUCCUUUCUGGGAGAGACGAAAGGAAAUAGAGUCCAUUUUGACCCGAUAAACUCCCUCAGAAGUCAUCGACUGGAAUUAAGUUUGUACAGUAAGCUCAGAAAAGAAUGGCAUUUGCAAUCCUGUGUAUAGCUAGAGAUGAGUUUCAUUUUAUUUUAAUCCUAAAUCUUUGAUUAUUAGUCCAUUUCAUUGAUAAUAACGGUCAUUUUCUUUUUCUAUUACGCUUCACCAGAAAUUAAUAUACGGUAUCUUACGAACUGCUGGAGCAUCCAAAAGCGUUUACAAAGCAAUUUCCCAGCCAAAAGGCUUAGACACGGGGAGAGCUUUGGAGCCUGAGCAAUUGGAAAGACUGAAGGGUGUGGCCGAAACCCGUAUGGUCGUGGCGACACUCAUUGCUGCUAUGACAUUUGCUGCUGGGUUUUCCGUUCCUGGAGGAUAUAAUGGCUCUGGAUCAGAUGCAGGAUAUGCUACACUGUUGAAUAAACCCAUGUACGACGUCUUCGUGAUCUGCAACACCAUCAGCUUGUACAGCUCAUUAAUUGCCGUAGCAAUCCUUCAUUGGGCGGAGGGUGACAAGGUUCGUGUCCUUAAAUUUUCAAGUCCACCAGUGGUCACAGCUCUUGGCACAAUGACUGUGGCCUUCAUGGCGGGUGUCUAUGUGACCGUAAGCAAACGUACUUGGAUCGCCAUUGUUGCCUUGAUCGCUGGAAGCACUGCUCUCUUCAUUAUCUUGGGUCUUCACAUGGUCCUUACCCCUCAGUUUAUUUCCUAUCUCUGGAGAGUUGGCAUAUUGAUUGUUAAAAGGUUGAUCCAUAAAUUGCUCAAACCACGCCUCGGUCAACAAACUAGGCAGCAAGCCGCGACUGCCUGAGUACCCUCUUGAAGUCAUCGAAGGUCAUGUGGAUGGUGAAAGAGCGAUGGCGAGGAUUGAAAAACUGAGAAGACGUGCAUGAAAUUCUGUACCCUGUUAUGAAGCUAUAUUUGGCAUCCCUACGUCGGAGCCUAAGUUUUAUUUUAAGCGACUCUUUGCCAAAUAUAUUUGGCAUAUCAAUGGAGAGAUUUCACGUUAACUUUGGAACUUAAGUUUUAUUUUAAGUAGCUCUGUCAAAAACGGAUAUAUGUCUUGCCUUGAUAGGGAUGUAAUCUGACCAUGUCGGUUACUCUCGUGAUAGUAUUGGAUUGCACAUCCUUUGUCAGGAAACAUUAAUGUCGAUUUUUCUGGAUUAUUUUUUUAAACAAAUAAAUUUCUAGAUAUCAAAAAAAUAAUACUGGAUAAUAACAGAAGUGUCGAAUUACCUUCUAGUAGGAGAAUCAUAUACCCAUUAUUGUCGAAUUACCUUCUAGUAGGGGGAUCAUAUCCCAUUCACAUGAACAUAAACCUCAUCAUUCACAGGCUCCAAGGUGAACAAACAUGUUUGUAUCUACUUCUCCUUCUUGUCGCAGUUGGAUAUACACUUGUCAGGUUCCUCUCGCUUGAAAUGUAUGGCACAAAUUGCAUGAGGACAUCGUAUACCGGGUGUGUCCCUCGAUCUCCAAGGGCAAUUUUGCUUUUGCAUGUUAAUCACAAACUUGUUUGGUUUGUACUUCACUCCAUAACCUACUCUGUCAUUCCAAUCCACAUGGCAAUAAGUGCUUUCAGUUUCAGCCUUGCUUUCCUCUAAUUUCAUCAGGACUCGGGGGCAAUACUCUCCAUUCCAUCUAGCAGCAACUGACAUCUUCACUUGAAUUCUUCUCAUCCCAUGGAUUCUUAUGUACUCAAGCAUGGAUGUGGUGGCAAUGUUGUUGAGACGUGCCUUUGUGAUUCUUCCUUCAAUUCGCAUGAAUAUGUUUAGUGCAGAUUCCAUGUUCUGCCAGGGGUAAAAGCUCGUGGAUAGCUAGAAUUAAUCCCUGCAUAGAACAUAUCUGAGAACGAGACAUCAAAUUAAAUUCAUAGCAAAGAGGGAAAAAAGAGCAGAAGAUGCCCUUUGUUAUUAGGACAUUAAGGUCCAUCCCUUGUCUUUGCUUUCAAUUUCCAUCCCCAUAUCAUGCAUUAGAUUACGUAGAUACCACGACCAAGAAUCAUUUGUCUACCUACACAUAUUGCAUUGGAGAUUUUGCUGAUUUCUUUUUCCUUUCAUUGCCAAAGUGUCGGCAUAAAGGUAGUGUCUUGCAUGAACAAUCAUUCGUGUUUGAUUACUAAACACCUAAUGUUCAAAUAUAGAACAUCUAAACUAAUUAUUGGCGUUAAAUUCCACUAUUUUUCUGUAGACUGUUGUGAGUCUUCUAAAUAAAGGAGAAUAUUUGAGAAUCUAGUAAGUUUCAAAAGUACUUUGUGAUUUAGAAUCUAUCUAAUGUGCAGAAGCCUGGAAAUGUUUUUCUUUUCUUUCGAAAUGGGAAGAUACCAGCUUUUGGCGACAAAAGAAUUCAAUUACAAGGGCAAGUGUAUGUCCUCAACUAUUAUAGUAGCAACACAAAUUAAAUACAAUAAGAUCUUUAAUUUUCAUACUCUGGACUUGAUAUUCCAACUUUGAAAUUUUCCUAAUUUAAAAUUUUGCCACCAUACAAAAUGCUUAAGUUUACUCUACGGUGAUUACCGAAAAUAAGAAUUGUCUGUGCCUAACCUCAUGCACCACCUUAAUAAAGAAUGACAAACCGUUUUCUUUUUUGGUCGGUUAUGACAAACCGUUGUCAAAAAGUGCUUAAUUACCUACCUCAACUCUACUCAAUUUGAAUAAUGCAAAUAUCUAAUGAGUCAUUCUUUAAUUUUUUUUCGAGAACUAGUAGUGUUGAUCGAUGCUCGGAAAGUUAUCCAAUCAAUUCUAAACUUAUUGUAUAUAUGUCAAUUUAGUCAUAAACUUUUUAGUUUUGUCAAUUUAGUCUUAAACUUUUGUUUGAAAUUUCAAUAGUCUUUCUGGUCAAUUUUUGCUAUAAAUUACUAAUGUGAUAAUCCAAUUAUCACCAAUUGUCCUAUGCGGCACACGUUGUAUUAGUGAUUUCCAGCUAAAAUUGGCUGAAAUAACUAUAUUGAAAUUUUAUGCAAAUGCUUAGAAUUAAAUUAGUAAAAUUAAAAUGUAUAAGACUAAAUAGACAUUUGUAUAAUAGAUUAUGACCGAUCGAACAGUUUUUUCAUGGAUGUGGUACUGAAAGCGGCACUGCAUUAAGAAAAGACCCAAUUGGAAGAUACGUGGCGUUGCUUUAAAAAAGACCCGGUACUUCAACCGGAAAAAAAAAACAAACAAACAAAAGCUACAGAUCUCUCUCCCGUGCGUGCCAAAAUUAGAUGAACAAGAAGAUUACAAGUAAUCACCUCAGGAUAAAUAAAUAAAAAAAAAAAAAAACCACCUCAGGAUCAACGGAAACCUAAAGCAAAACAUAUAUAGGAAGUCAUAAGCAGUAAGGAUCGAGAUGGAGUCGAUGGAAUGACUAUAAAGAACGUGAAGAAAUUAAUGGGAAGAGGUGAAAAUCGUCGCAGAGCUUCAAUAUCUUAAAAUACUUUAAGAAGUGGAAGGAGAUGACACCCUCGACUAUGCUAGAACUUUCCGAAUUUUUGUUCGACUUUCCUUUUUUUUUCUGGGUCUGAUUUCGACUUUCCUUUUCAAUUUCACUUUUAGCUUUUUAUUUUUUUUAUUUUUUUUCACUUCUCCUCUCCCCUGUGCAUCUUGUCAAUAUGAUUUCCAUGUUUUACUAAAUGUCAUAAGUUUAGGGCCAUUAGAUUCCAGUUGGCUGUGAUUCCAAGUUCAAUUUAAAUUACAAUUUCAUUUUCGAUUGCAGCAGUUUAAUUUCAGUUUCACGCCUUAAUUUUCUUUAUUUUCAGUCGGCAGUAGCAUGGACAAUUUAUCCUAGUCAAAUUGCAGAUAUUUUGAUUAUUGGCCGUCCGUAAAUUUGAGCCCACUAAUUUCUAUAUUUUUUACUCCAAUGAACUAUAUUUUUGAACAACAAAAUUAGCCUCACAAAAACUUUAAAAACCCACGACACAAUAAAUAAAUAAAAAGGUCAAACUGAAAAACCAACUAGAUAAAUUCAAGUUACUAGGACAAAAUUAAUUAUAAUAAAACUUGAGAUUGAGUUCUCAAAAUUUCAUUUUGUGUGAUUGUGAUUUUGGUUCUCAUUAGCAUUGAAUUUACGUUACUAUACAUUCAAUUGAGCUAAAUCUGAAGGGUAUUUUUCAGUUAUAUCUUAUUAAUGUGUACUUCGAGUUAUUUAUUAAGCAACGACACAUACAAAAGUUUUAUGGAUUUCAUUGCACUAUUUCUGUAUUGUGUAAUGAAGGCAUUGAAAAUUGAAACAUUUUUUAUCAUGUAUAUUUAACUAGUGUCCCAUAGUCAGUCAUUCACAAAUAACAAGACUCGAGCUUUGGGAAAAAUUAUGUCAAUAAUGUAGUUGUGAUGUGUGAUCUAGUUCAAUCAUGCGCAAGAGCUAUGAUCUGAAUUGUUUUGCAAAAUUAUGUUUAGUGACUCUUAUGUGCAUGUAAUUUGCUGUCAUUGUGCGUGCGUUACGUUUAAAGGACGCCCUUAAGUUAGUUUUAGAGUAUUUGUACGGUUAGGUAACUAUGUUGUAACUUAGCUCAAUCGUGAAAUAUAUUCAACAAAAAUGAAGAUUGUGGAUCAAAUUUGUUUUUAAGUUAAAAAAUUAAAUGUCGAUGUUUACAAAUUUAUAGAUGAUCAAAACUUCAGAAUUCUGUAUAAAUUUUCCCGUUCAAAAACAAUUUAGCACUUUGCUUAUUGACCUCACUAAAAAACAAUCUUCGCUCUGCCACUGCUAGCCAAGUAGUUUAGUUUUCUUUAAAUUUUCAAGUAGUACUUACAUUGCUGUUAAUUAUUAUCUCAGAACACUUCUCUCAGGAGAUGACAUGCCUUUCGCAAAUCCAUCUUAAUUUGAGAAAGGCAGACUUGAUAAUACAAUCAUUUUGUGGUCGAAAAAGAAUUGCAUUUGUUCUUCUGAAUCGUCUGAAUAUUAAAUUCACGCCUUGUGCAAUUUCACAGCACCAAAAGUUCUUCAGGAAUUACUUGCUUAGAAUAGUCUGCACCAACGGUGUCCUUAAUAUGAAUCCAGUAGAAUGUUUAGGGAAGAACUCUGUAGUGGAUGUUUUCGAGCGCCAAAGAUUUUCUUUUUCGAAGAAAUGCCCUUGGCCACAAGAUGUUUACUGACAGCUAAAGAAGAAACCAUCUCCAAGUUGUGGCUGAGCAGUCAAUAUUGGAGAAGAGACACCGCGAAAGAGUUCAACAAACCGUCAUCUAGCUUCGGAGAAUACGAUAUUCAAGUUUCAGAGUUUAAGAUGGACGGUGAUCAGAGCAUAAAUAUUGGUGAUCAUGAAAUCUGGGAGCAGAGAAGGGCCAGAUCGAAAGCACUGGAGUCGGUGAAUGGAACACAACUUCAAGCAGAAUUCAAAUAACGUGUGUUUCUGCUGCUCCGCGCCGUUGUUAAAGUAGGCAAUGUCAACAAGUUCAUUGAGGCCCUUGAAAAGUAUUCUGCCAAAGAGAGGGUCUCUUUGUCCGACAUUAUGAACAUACAGGGUCCUUCCGGGAACUCAUUGUUUUGCGUCGCAGCGGGUAUCAAGAAUGCCGGCAUCCUCCGAGCCCUUCUCGAGGUCAUCCUUGACAAGUGGCUCGCAGCCGAGGCCAACUACCGAGGGGAACGCCGCACUCCGCGUCGCAACAAGAGUUGGCAGGAUCCGCUCGGCUGAGCUCCUCCUUGGCUGUGGCAGCAUUGUGCACAUGGCAAACGACGCGGGGAACACCACGUUGCAUGAGGCUGUGAAGAAUGGUUACUCCAAGUUGACCCGUUUGCUCCAGAGUCGAGGCUCAAGAGCGGUGUAUCCGGAGAACAAGGAGAGCAAAUCGCCACCGUACUUGGCAAUGGAGAUCGGAAACUUGGAGAUUCUCAAGCUUCUCAAGGAGGCGAUAGAUGAAAAUGAAAUCCCUUGGUCCAAGAUGCAAACGCAUCGUUUCUAUUGUUAAGUAGGACUAGCAGGUUGCAUCAUUUAGGUGAAAGUGCAAAGUUCCUUGCCUAUAUAUAUGUAGGCAUUUAUUUUUCCUGUUAGGAAAAUUACUGCCUGAGGACCCCAUAAAAGCGUGUAGCAGCGAUUCUAUAGUCGUGAAUUGCACCCUUCACAUAUCACAGUAGACCCGUUCCUUGACGAAGAAACAGGCAUCGCAGUGGGUGAGUUGGAGGACGGCAAAAAGGCAAAGUAGCAAUGAUAGGAAGGUGAUAGUGUUCGAAGAAUUCGUGAUCGCUUAUGGUUUGUGCUUGUUCUUUCACUUGAAAAGUAAAUGGAGAUUUUGAUUGUUGCAGGUCAAUUCUCUCGGAGAGAGCUCUUUCUUUAUAAAGCUAAAGAUGGGGAAUGAGAAAAUGUUUGCCUUUUGCAAGGGGAGAUUGAUAGGCGUUGAGGUGUUGAAAGUUGCAGCUAAAAGUCAUGAGGAAGUCAAUUUCUUCUGCAUUUAUAGAAAAUAUUGUGUACCUAGAGUGCCGGAAGAGAUUUUUGUAAAUCCGUUCAUUAGGAAACUCAGGCCAAUUCAUUUCAUUUUUAUUUACGAUGUAAAUGUCAGGUGUAACCCACUUUGUGCAAUGUUGCUUGAAUCGAACCCUGCACAGUAAACGAAUAUUUCCUACUUCUGGCUUCAGAAAAAUCGCAAACAGUGUUACGAACUUCUUUCUUUUUCCUCCCCCUCUCCACAGUAUACCUACUCCCUUUACCUACUCCAUUUACCCUCUCUCUCUCUCUCCUUUUACUCUUUCCCUCUUCUCUCACAUUUUUUCCUUCGAAGUAAAGAAUAAAAGGACCAUAUAUACUAUACAGAGGGAGCAACUCAUAAUGAUAUUCAAAGCUUGUUCAUGAUUUUUGUUCAAGUUAGGAUGGGGCUCAGUCAUGUACCAUGCCAGGUCCGGUAUAGUAACUUUGUGCAAAGUGGGUCAAGACUAGAAGGUGAAUAUGUAUCAUACAAAUGAGAGAAUAAAUGAAAAAGAAAUUCGAAGCCUCAUUUAUGGUUUAUGAAUAAAGUUAGAUGACGGGCAUAAUUAUGUCCUUUGCAGGUUCAGUCCAACCAAGUUUUUGUAAAGUGGAUCUCAUUUGAUAAUUACAUCUUAAAUUAGAAAAUGAAUUGAUUUGGCUUGUGUUGACAACCGAUAUUUUUUUCCUUCGAAAUAAAGAAUAAAAGGACCAUAUGUACUAUACAGAGGGAGCAACUCAUAAUGAUAUUCGAAGUUUGUUCAUGAUUUUCGUUCAAGUUAGGAUGGGGCUCAGUCAUGUACCAUGCUAGGUCCAGUAUAGUAACUUUGUGCAAAGUGGGUCAAGACUAGAAGGAGAAUACGUAUCAUACAAAUGAGAGAAGAAAUGAAAAAGAAAUUCGAAGCCUCAUUUGUGGUUUAUGAAUAAAGUUAGAUGACGGGCAUAAUUAUGUACUUUGCAGGUUCAGUCCAACCAAGUUUUUGUAAAGUGGAUCUCAUUUGAUAAUUACAUCUUUAAAAAAAAAAUGAAUUAAUUUGGCUGGGCCAACAACGAUAUUUUUUCUUUCGAAGUAAGAAUAAAAGGACAUAUGUACUAUACAAAGGGAGCAACUCAUAAUGAUAUUCGAAGUUUGUUCAUGAUUUUUGUUCAAGUUAGGAUGGGGCUCAGUAAUGUACCAUGCUAGGUCCAGUAUAGUAACUUUGUGCAAAGUGGGUCAAGACUAGAAGGAGAAUAUGUAUCAUACAAAUGAGAGAAGAAAUGAAAAAGAAAUUCGAAGCCUCAUUUGUGGUUUAUGAAUAAAGUUAGANNNNNNNNNNNNNNNNNNNNNNNNNNNNNNNNNNNNNNNNNNNNNNNNNNNNNNNNNNNNNNNNNNNNNNNNNNNNNNNNNNNNNNNNNNNNNNNNNNNNCUUUGCAGGUUCAGUCCAACCAAGUUUUUGUAAAGUGGAUCUCAUUUGAUAAUUACAUCUUAAAUAAAUAAAAAAAAUGAAUUGAUUUGGCUGUGCCGACAACCGAUAUUUUUCCUUCGAAGUAAAGAAUAAAAGGACCAUAUGUACUAUACAGAGGGAGCAACUCAUAAUGAUAUUCGAAGCUUGUUCAUGAUUUUUGUUCAAGUUAGGAUGGGGCUCAAUCAUGUACCAUGCCAGGUCCGGUAUAGUAACUUUGUGCAAAGUGGGUCAAGACUAGAAGGAGAAUAUGUAUCGUACAAAUGAGAGAAGAAACGAAAAAGAAAUUCGAAGCCUCAUUUGUGGUUUACGAAUAAAGUCAGAUGACGGGCAUAAUUAUGUACUUUGCAGGUUUAGUCCAACCAAGUUUUUGUAAAGUACAUCUCAUUUGAUAAUUACAUCUUAAAUAAGAAAAUGAAUUGAUUUGGCCUGCGCCGACAACCGAUAUUUUUUCCUUUGAAGUAAAGAAUAAAAGGACCAUAUGUACUAUACAGAGGGAGCAAUUCAUAAUGAUAUUCGAAGCUUGUUCAUGAUUUUUGUUCAAGUUAGGAUGGGGCUCAGUCAUGUACCAUGCCAGGUCCGAUAUAGUAACUUUGUGCAAAGUGGGUCAAGACUAGAAGGAGAAUAUGUAUCGUACAAAUGAGAGAAGAAACGAAAAAGAAAUUCGAAGCCUCGUUUGUGGUUUAUGAAUAAAGUUAGAUGACGGGCAUAAUUAUGUACUUUGCAAGUUCAGUCCAACCAAGUUUUUGUAAAGUGGAUCUCAUUUGAUAAUUACAUCUUAAAUUAAAAAAAUGAAUUGAUUUGGCCUGUGCCAACAACCGAUAUUUUUUCCUUCGAAGUAAAGAGUAAAAGGACCAUAUGUACUAUACAGAGGGAGCAACUCAUAAUGAUAUUCGAAGCUUGUUCAUGAUUUUUGUUCAAGUUAGGAUGGGGCUCAGUCAUGUACCAUGCCAGGUCUGGUAUAGUAACUUUGUGCAAAGUGGGUCAUGACUAGAAGGAGAAUAUGUAUCGUACAAAUGAGAGAAGAAAGGAAAAAGAAAUUCGAAGCCUCAUUUGUGGUUUACGAAUAAAGUCAGAUGACGAGCAUAAUUAUGUACUUUGCAGGUUCAAUCCAACCAAGUUUUUGUAAAGUAGAUCUCAUUUGAUAAUUAUAUCUUAAAUAAGAAAAUGAAUUGAUUUGGCCUAUGCCGACAACCGAUGAGUGAUUUGUGUAAAGAGGCACUCAAGGAAUACCGAAUAUUUUAUCGUGUAUUUAAUCUUAGAAAAGAGACACAGCAAUAAGAGUUCUAACAGACUAUCGUCUUACUUUGGCGAAGACGACAUUCGCAUUUCAGAGUUAUCAGAUGGAUAGCCAUAUCGCGAGAGUAGAUAUUGCUGAUUAUGAAUGGGAGCCGACAAGGGCCAGAUUGAGAGCACCAGAGUCGGUCAACGAAACCCGCCGCCAAGCAAAAUUCAAAUUUCAUUUGGAUCAAAAGCUACAGGCCGCCGCGGAAGAUGGAGACGUGGACAAGUUCAUCGAAGCCCUCAAAGCAUAUUCCCACAAAGUGGGUGUCUGCUUGUCCAGCAUUUUGGACAUGCGUGGCCCUUCUGGGAACACGUUGCUUCAUGUCGCAGCAGGUCUCAUGGCGGCCGACAUCCUCCAAGCCCUCCUCGAGGUCAUCCAUGACAACCAGCUCGCCACUAAGGUGAACUACCAAAGGGGACACUGCACUACACGUUGCGGCAAGAAAGGGCAGAAUCCCGCACGGCCAAGCUCCUACUUAGGUACGACGGCNNNNNNNNNNNNNNNNNNNNNNNNNNNNNNNNNNNNNNNNNNNNNNNNNNNNNNNNNNNNNNNNNNNNNNNNNNNNNNNNNNNNNNNNNNNNNNNNNNNNCGGCAUUGCAUGAGGCUGUGAAGAACCGUUGCCACGACUUGACCCGCCUGCUCCUGCGCCAGGGCUCGAAAUCGGUGUAUAAGAAGAACAAGGGGGGCAAGUGCCCGCUGUACUUGGCAGUAGAGAUGGGGGACUUGGCUGGUCUCAAGUAUUUGAUGGAAAAUGUGGUAGGGCAGGUUAUUCCCUCCCAGAAUGAAGACAUGUCGCCGGUUCACGGAGCCGUGAUUCACAAAAACAUAGGUUAGUGAUUAUACUGACGGUUCUCACUUGGGUAAAUUUAUUAGUCGGACUAUUUACAUUGUUUGUAUAUGCGUGUCUACUUUGGAUCCAUACUAGCCGUUCAACCUGUAACUCUCAUUCACAGUUUUUGAUCUUCUAGAAUUGUUUGACUUUGUCUAGAGAUUCCAUCGAUCAUUGAAAACUUCUCAUAAAUUUUGUCCCAAAAGAAAGCGGUUACGAUAUGUCUGGACUUGGGUCGUAGCAAGACUUACCCCCUAAAGAAUGUCAUCAAUUGAAUACUUCAGUAGUCGAUACCCAUGGUAUAAGCCUUUGUAGAUACUAUACUACUUAUAUUAAUUGUCAAAGACCUUUUCUAAAACAGGAAGAGAAUCAUGCCAUGCCUGUCCUUGAUUACUCCCGGUGUGAGAAACUACUUCUUGGAAAUGAAUGUCUCUAUAAUUGGAAGCAUUCUCUAAUGUCUAUACUGAUUUAUCCCCCAAAAGUAAGGAUUUAAAUUGUGUAGUCCAUGUAAUAUCGCAUAUUUGUUUUCUCUUAAGAAAAAUAUAAUUGUCAAAAGGUAAAGUCACUAGACCCUUGGUCAUGAGCAUGCCACAAAUUCAUUCUUUUCCCGCUCUCUAACAAUGUAGGUAUGCUGAAAGAGAUGUCAGAGCAGAAUGAAGAUCUGUUUAAUUUAAAAGACGCUGGAGGUGGUACUCCCCUGCAUCUGGCAGCAUUAAUGAAUUACGUUGAGGGAGUCAAUUUCUUGGUCGACAAGUUUGCUUGGAGCGCCUUUGAGUUUGACAAUGAGGGCUAUCUUCCGAUCCAUGUUGCAUGUAAGAUGGGUCAUGUCAGAACAACGAGAAAGCUAUUUCAACAUUGGCCAAAUCCGGAAGAGUUGCUAGAUCGCAAGGAAGGGCAAAAUAUACUUCACAUUGCGGCGAAGUAUGGAAACUUUGACGUAGUGGGGUACAUACUCUUAAAGCCCGAGGUUGAGAAGCUUAUAAAUGCAAAAGACAGAGAAGGAAAUACGCCUCUACAUGUGGCCACAUUGCAGUUGCAAUACAUGGUUCUUUCGUGUCUUGUUCUUCACGAUAAAGUUAAUCUUAAGCUCAUAAACGACAACAACUUGACGGCUCUAGAUAUUGCGCAUGCUCAACCAAAAACACAUGGUCGACUACGUGAGGUAAUGGUAUCUACAGAAUGGAUUAACAAUUUAUCUGCUUUUGUUUUUCACUGUUGUUUUAGCUACUUCCUUUCUGGGAGAGACGAAAGGAAAUAGAGUCCAUUUUGACCCGAUAAACUCCCUCAGAAGUCAUCGACUGGAAUUAAGUUUGUACAGUAAGCUCAGAAAAGAAUGGCAUUUGCAAUCCUGUGUAUAGCUAGAGAUGAGUUUCAUUUUAUUUUAAUCCUAAAUCUUUGAGUCCAUUUCAUUGAUAAUAACGGUCAUUUUCUUUUUCUAUUACGCUUCACCAGAGAUUAAUAUACGGUAUCUUACUAACUGCUGGAGCAUCCAAAAGCGUUUACAAAGCAAUUUCCCAGCCAAAAGGCUUAGACACGGGGAGAGCUUUGGAGCCUGAGCAAUUGGAAAGACUGAAGGGCAUGGUCGACACCCGUAUGGUCGUGGCGACACUCAUUGCUGCUAUGACAUUUGCUGCUGGGUUUUCCGUUCCUGGAGGAUAUAAUGGCUCUGGAUCAGAUGCAGGAUAUGCUACACUGUUGAAUAAACCCAUGUACGACGUCUUUGUGGUCUGCAACACCAUCAGCUUUUACAGCUCAUUAAUUGCCGUAGCAAUCCUUCAUUGGGCGGAGGGUGACCUGGUUAGUGUCCUUAACCUUUCAAGGCCACCAGUGGUCACAGCUCUUGGCACAAUGUCUGUGGCCUUCAUGGCGGGUGUCUAUGUGACCGUAAGCAAACGUACUUGGAUGGCCAUUGUUGCUUUGAUCUCUGGAAUCACUGCCCUCUUCGUUAUCUUGGGUCUUCACAUUGUCCUUACCCGUCAGUUUCUCUUCAAACUCUGGACAAUUGGCAUAUUGAUUGUUAGAAGGUUGAUCCGUAAAUUGCUCGAACCACGCCUUGGUCAACAAACUAGGCAGCAAGCCGCGACUGCCUGAGUACCCUCUUGAAGUCAUCGAAGGUCAUGUGGAUGGUGAAAGAGCGAUGGCGAGGAUUGAAAAACUGAGAAGAUGUGCAUGAAAAUCUGUACCCUGUUAUGAAGCUAUAUUUGGCAUCCCUACGUCGGAGCCUAAGUUUAUUUUAAGCGACUCUUUGCCAAAUAUAUUUGGCAUAUCAAUGGAGAGAUUUCACGUUAACUUUGGAACUUAAGUUUUAUUUUAAGUAGCUCUGUCAAAAACGGAUAUAUGUCUUGCCUUGAUAGGGAUGUAAUCUGACCAUGUCGGUUACUCUCGUGAUAGUAUUGGAUUGCACAUCCUUUGUCAGGAAACAUUAAUGUCGAUUUUUCUGGAUUAUUUUUUUAAACAAAUAACUUUCUAGAUAUCAAAAAAAUAAUACUGGAUGAUGACAGAAGUGUCGAAUUACCUUCUAGUAGGGGAAUCAUAUGCCCAUUAUUCUCGAAUUACCUUCUAGUAGGGGAUCAUAUACCCAAUAUAUGUGUGUUCACGUGAACAUAAACCUCACCAUUCACAGGCUCCAAGGUGAACAAACAUGUUUGUAUCUACUUCUCCUUCUUGUCGCAGUUGGAUAUACACUUGUCAGGUUCCUCUCGCUUGAAAUGUAUGGCACAAAUUGCAUGAGAACAUCGUAUACCGGGUGUGUCCCUCGAUCUCCGGGUGUGUCCCUCUUUUGCAUGUUAAUCACAAACUUGUUUGGUUUGUACUUCACUCCAUAACCUACUCUGUCAUUCCAAUCCACAUGGCAAUAAGUGCUUUCAGUUUCAGCCUUGCUUUCCUCUAAUUUCAUCAGGACUCGGGGGCAAUACUCUCCAUUCCAUCUAGCAGCAACUGACAUCUUCACUUGAAUUCUUCUCAUCCCAUGGAUUCUUAUGUCCUCAAGCAUGGAUAUGGUGGCAAUGUUGUUGAGACGUGCCUUUGUGAUUCUUCCUUCAGUUCGCAUGAAUAUGUUUAGUGCAGAUUCUAUGUUCUGCCAGGGGUAAAAGCUCGUGGAUAGCUAGAAUUAAUCCCUGCAUAGAACAUAUCUGAGAACGAGACAUCAAAUUAAAUUCAUAGCAAAGAGGGAAAAAAGAGAAGAAGAUGCCCUUUGUUAUUAGGAUAUUAAGGUCCAUCCCUUGUCUUUGCUUUCAAUUUCCAUCCCCAUAUCAUGCAUAAGAUUACGUAGAUACCACGAUCUAGAAUCCUUUGUCUACCUACACAUAUUGCAUUGGAGAUUUUGCUGAUUUCUUUUUCCUUUCAUUGCCAAAGUGUCGGCAAAAAGGUAGUGUCUUGCAUGAACAAUCAUUCGUGUUUGAUUACUAAACACCUAAUGUUCAAAUAUAGAACAUCUAAACUAAUUAUUGGCGUUAAAUUCCACUAUUUUUCUGUAGACUGUUGUGAGUCUUCUAAAUAAAAGAGAAUAUUUGAGAAUCUAAUAAGUUUCAAAAGUACUUUGUGAUUUAGAAUCUAUCUAAUGUGCAGAAGCCUGGAAAUGCUUUUCUUUUCUUUCGAAAUGGGAAGAUACCAGUUUCUGGUGACAAAAGAAUUCAAUUACAAGGGCAAGUGUAUGUCCUCAACUAUUAUAGUAGCAACACAAAUUAAAUACAAUAAGAUCUUUUAAUUUUGAUACUCUGGACUUGAUAUUCCAACUUUGAAAUUUUCCUAAUUUAAAAUUUUGCCACCAUACAAAAUGCUUAAGUUUACUCUACGGUGAUUACCGAAAAUAAGACUUGUCUGUGCCUAACCUCAUGCACCACCUUAAUAAAGAAUGACAAACCGUUUUCUUUUUUGGUCGGUUAUGACAAACCGUUGUCAAAAAGUGCUUAAUUACCUACCUCAACUCUACUCAAUUUGAAUAAUGCAAAUAUCUAACGAGUCAUUCUUUAAUUUUUUUUCAAGAGCUAGUAGUGUUGAUCGAUUCUGGGAAAAUUAUCCAAUCAGUUCUAAACUUAUUGUAUAGAUGUCAGUUUAAUCAUAAACUUUUUAAUUUUGUUAAUUUAGUCUUAAACUUUUGUGUGAAAUUUCAAUAUAGUCUUUCCGGUCAAUUUUUGCUAGAAAUUACUAAUGCGAUAAUCCAAUUAUCGCCAAUUGUCCUACGUGGCAUACGUUGCAUUAGUGAUUUCCAGCGAAAAUUAGCCGAAAUGACUAUAUUAGAAUUUUAUGCAAAUGUUUAGAAUUAAAUUGGUAAAAUUAGAAUGUAUAAGACUAAAUUGAUAUUCGUAUAAUAGAUUUAUGAAUGAUUGAACAGUUUCUUCAUUGAUGUGGUACUGAAAGCGGCAUUGCAUAAAGAAAAGACCCAACUGGAAGAUAUGCGGCGUUGUUUUAAAAAAGACCCGGUACUUCAACCAAAAGAAAAGAAAAGAAAAGAAAAACAAACAAACCAAAGCUACAGAUCUCUCUCCCGUGCGCACCAAAAUUAAAUGAACAAGAGGAUUACAAGUAACCACCUCAGGAUCAACGGAAACCUAAAGCAAAACAUAUAUAGAAAGUCAUAAGCAGUAAGGAUCGAGAUGGAGUCGAUGGAAUGACUAUAAAGAACGUGAAGAAAUUAAUGGGAAGAGGUGAAAAUCGUCGCAGAGCUUCAAUAUCUUAAAAUACUUUAAGAAGUGGAAGAAGAUGACACCCUCAACUAUGCUAGAACUUUCCCGAAUUUUUGUUCGACUUUCCUUUUUUUUUUCUGGGUCUGAUUUCGACUUUCCUUUUCAAUUGCACUUUUAGCUUUUUAUUUUUUACUUUUUUCACUUCUCCUCUCCCUGUGCAUCCUGUCAAUAUGAUUUCCAUGUUUUACUAAAUGUCAUAAGUUGAGGGCCAUUAGAUUCCAGUUGGCUGUGAUUCCAAGUUCAAUUCAAAUUACAAUUUCAUUUUCGAUUGCAGCAGUUUAAUUUCAGUUUCACGCUUUAAUUUUCUUUAUUUUCAGUCGGCAGUAGCAUGGACAAUUUAUCCUAGUCAAAUUGCAGAUAUUUUGAUAUGGCCGUCCGUAAAUUUGAGCCCGCUAAUUUCUAUGUUUUUUACUCCAAUGAACUAUAUUUUUUUAACAACAAAAUUAGCCUCACAAAAACUUUAAAAACCACGACACGAUAAAAAGAAGAAGAAGGUCAAACUUAAAAACCAACUAGAUAAAUUCAAGUUACUAGGAGAAAAUUAAUUAUAAUAAAACUUGAAAUUGAGUUCUCAAAAUUUCAUUUUGUGUGAUUGUGAUUUUGGUUCUCAUUAGCAUUGAAUUUACGUUACUAUACAUUCAAUUGAUCUAAAUCUGAAGGGUAUUUUUCAGUUAUAUCUUAUUAAUGAGUACUUCGAGUUAUUUAUUAAGCAACGACACAUACAAAAGUUUUAUGGAUUUCAUUGCACUAUUUCUGUAUUGUGUAAUGAAGGCAUUGAAAAUUGAAACAUUUUUUUAUCAUGUAUAACAAGAUAAAAAUUGUGGUGUGUGGCCUAGUUCAAAUAACAAGACUCGAGCUUUGGGCAACGUUAUGUCAAUAAUGUAAUUGUGGUGUGUGAUCUAGUUCAAUCAUGCGCAAGAGCUAUGAUCAGAAUUGUUUUGCAAAAUUAUGUUUAGUGACUCUUAUGUGCAUAUAAUUUGCUGUCAUUGUGCGUGCGUUACGUUUAAAGGACGCCCUUAAGUUAGUGUUAGAGUAUUUGUACGGUUAGGCAACUAGUAUGUUGUAACUUAGCUCAAUCGGGAAAUAUAUUCAACAAAAAUGAAGAUUGUGGAUCAAUUUUUUUUUAAGUUAAAAAAUUAAAUGUCGAUGUUUACAAAUUUAUAGAUGAUCAAAACUUCAUCAAAACUUCAGAAUUCUGUAUAAAUUUUCCCGUUCAAAAACGGCUUAUUGACCUCACUAAAAAACAAUCUUCGCUCUGCCACUGCUAGCCAAGUAGUUUAGUUUUCUUUAAAUUUUCAAGCAGUACUUACAUUGCUGUUAAUUAUUAUCUCAGAACACUUCUCUCAGGAGAUGACAUGCCUUUCGCAAAUCCAUCUUAAUUUGAGAAAGACAGACUUGAUAAUACAAUCAUUUUGUGGUCGAAACAGAAUUGCAUUUGUUCUUCCGAAUCGUCUGAAUAUUAAAUUCACGCCUUGUGCAAUUUCACAGCACCAAUAGUUCUUCAGGAAUUACUUGCUUAGAAUGGUCUGCACCAACGAUGUUCUUAACAUGAAUCCAGUAGAAUGUUUAGGGAAGAACUCUGCAGUGGAUGUUUUCGAGCGCCAAAGAUUUUCUUUUUCGAAGAAAUGCUCUUGGCCACAAGAUGUUUACUGACAGCUAAAGAAGAAACUAUCUCCAAGUUGUGGGUGAGCAGUCAAUAUUGGAGAAGAGACACCGCGAAAGAGUUCAACAAACCGUCAUCUAGCUUCGGAGAAUACGAUAUUUAAGUUUCAGAGUUUUAAGAUGGACGGUGAUCAUGUGAGCAUAAAUUUUGGUGAUCAUGAAAUCUGGGAGCAGAGAAGGGCCAGAUCGAAAGCACUAGAGUCGGUGAAUGGAACACAACUUCAAGCAGAAUUCAAAUAACGUGUGUUUCUGCUGCUCCGCGCCGUUGUUAAAGUAGGCAUUGUCAACAAGUUCAUUUGAGGCCCCUGAAAAGUAUUCUACCAAAGAGAGGGUCUCUUUGUCCGACAUUAUGAACAUACAGGGUCCUUCCGGGAACUCAUUGUUUUGCAUCGCAGCGGGUAUCGAGAAUGCCGGCAUCCUCCGAGCCCUUCUCGAGGUCAUCCUUGACAAGUGGCUCGCAGCCUAGGCCAACUACCGAGGGGAUGCCGCACUCCACGUCGCAACAAGAGUUGGCAGGAUCCGCUCGGCUGAGCUCCUCCUUGGCUGUGGCAGCAUUGUGCACACGGCAAACGACGCGGGGAACACCACGUUGCAUGAGGCUGUGAAGAAUGGUUACUCCAAGUUGACCCGUUUGCUCCAGAGUCGAGGCUCAAGAGCGGUGUAUCCGGAGAACAAGGAGAGCAAAUGCCCACCGUACUUGGCAAUGGAGAUCGGAAACUUGGAGAUUCUCAAGCUUCUCAAGGAGGCGAUAGAUGAAAAUGAAGUCCCUUGGUCCAAGAUGCAAGGCAUGUCCCCGGUUCGCGGAGCCAUGGGGUACUAGAGGUUUGGUCAGUGAUCGUACUUAUGGCUCUCACUAUGGUACAUUCAUCAUUCCGACCGUACAAAUUUACGGGUGUGUCUAUUUUAGGUCCGUCCCAGCUACUAAACCUUUAGGUCUCACGCACAUUUUUUGUUUUUCUAUUAGAAUGGUUUCACUUUAUCUAGAGCCUGGAUCAACAAUUGAAAGUUUCCCAUAAAUUUCGGCCCAGAAGAAGGCUGGUAAGAUAUCUUUGGACUUGGGUCAUGGCAAAACUUACCCCCUUUCCAGUUAAACAGCUGAUAUACAAGAAAGGCCAUUGUUUCAGUUGUACUGAAUAAUCAUGUAUGUAAAAUUAGAGGUGUUAAAUCCCAUUUAUGGACCCAUUUCUAGUUAAAUGAGUCAUUAAUGGGUCAAGCCUCAUUUCUCAAAACACCCAUAAUGAGUUUUGAUAUUAAAUAAGCUGAUAUAUAUGGAUUUUAAAUGGGUCUGUUCUCAGUGAAGCUGAAAUUACCUGGAAUCACGAAAUAUGUAAAUCUAAGCACCAAUAUAGCCAGUUCUACAGUAGGAUUCUUACAACAAGCUGAAAAACAUUAUUGAACAUUCAAUAUUGCAAAUAGACGGAUGACACUAAAAACCCACCUUCUGGACAUGUUUGAAAAGCAAUACCAAUAUAAUGAACUUUGAGCAUUCAACAUUUUAAACACCAAAACAACCAAAUUGGAUUUGAAAGAUAGCAAAUCGCCUUAUCAGCAAAUCAACCUAACUAAAUCCUUUUUUUUCUCACACUCCCCCCAAGAAAAAAAAUCUCCUGUUUUGCAGCAUGACCACGUGAAACAAAAGAAAACACAUUUGACAACAGGAAAGGUGAAAUCACCUCAGCAGGCCAGAGCACAUUACAUAUAUCAGUCCAUUACAAUGUGUCAGUAUAUCACGUUUCAGCUUUCUUAGACAUAACAAAUCUAAAAUUUAAGCCAAUCCAAUCUCAUGGCUAUAUUUUACUUAUGUUAUGAUCACAUUAUGAUGAGAAUUGCAUAAACACAUCUACCUUUUAUAUAUUUGGGCCAAGUACCAUAUGGCCGUAUUUGAGCAAAACAAACCCAUUAAGCCAAUGUGAAAGGCAAGUACCAUUGCAUUCGUUUUGCGAUCAUCCAAUGAUACUUACAUCUAAUUUCCAAAUGCAUGUUCCACCUAUCUACAUCAUUAGGAGUUAAUUCCAUUAGAACAAUGUCAAUCAUAGACAAGAACCCUUGUUGACACCUAAUUUAAAUUCAUUUUUAGAAAUAAAAGAUAAUAUUUGAUUAUAAAGGGAAAUUUUGAAAAAAAACUUCGAAUUCAAAAAUGCAACAAUCGUGUGAUUUUGGAGCCACUUUUUUGUUGAAAAGUUGAGUGAAUAUGUGCAAUUAUAUCGGAAAAUCUUCACCUGCAAAAACAAACUCGAGUCUGUCGCGACCCAAUUUUUUGGGUUAUGAACCACCUAGAGUUUGGCUAAUGGAUUGUUAAGCCUAAACUUAACUCGGGCUCUCCCAAGCCCAUACCAAUUCGUGACUUAGGUUUGAAUUCUUAACAUGCAAAUUGAUUUUAUUUAGGAGUCGCCACUAAUCAGUUUAUGGUAGGUCGAUUAGACACCUAAGUAAAAUAAUAUGAGAAUUACGUUACUCCUACGAACCAGAGACUAGGGUACGGGGACUUGAUUACAUUAGAUUUCUCUAAUGCCCUUUCGGUACCAUUCUUUUUAUUUUCAAAAAUGUUUGGCAAUUGAAUUGCUUUUAAACUAACUUCCUAACAUGUGAGGUGAUCAUACAUGUGCGCAUACCACCAAUUUAACACUCAAGAAAGCAAUUAAAUAUUGCAAAACAUACCUAGGAGCAACGAAAGCAUCUGCAUUGUUAAAUCAGAAUUCACAUCAGCAGCCCUAGAUAUGAUUUCUAAUUAACACGCAAUUUCAAUUUUUGUUUUCAUUUUAUUUAAUGAAAAUCAUGACUUAUGCAAUGCAUCUAAGAUGACAUGGCAGCAUGACCUAAACUAUAUGACAUGAAGAAAUGCAAUAAUUAAAUGCCAUCUAAAUGACCUAAUUCUAAUGACAUGCAAUGCGAUGCAAUGACAUACAAAAUUAUUUAAACUAAGAUGACAUGCCGCAGAUAAUUUAGCACGCGAGUUAUAUGUCAUGCGACAUUUAUUAAAUGAUUUAGUCUAAUUACAAGUAAGUUCUAAUUAAAUGAACCUACAUGACAUGCAUUUGAUAUUUCUAUUUAAAAAUGCAAAAAUGAUCUAGCUAGAUUAAAAUUCUAUCAUAUUUAAACUAAGGAUUAAGUCACAUUAAAUCAUAAUUUAAACUAAGAUAUUAUCUUAAUCUAACAUGUAAUUGAUCGAAUAUGCAAUGACAUGCGGAGCAAGCCCUAAUUCUACAUGACAUAUGCAUGAGAGUUUUUAUCUUUUAUUUUUUUAUUUAAAAUUCAAAAUUUAAAAUUACCACGUAAUUAAACACGCAACUAAAAUCUUAAAUUAAUGCAUUUUUUAUUGUUUUUCGAACUAAAAUCCCUAUCCUAGCUAUGCAAGAUAACAAGAAAUAUUCUAAAACAAACUGAAUCCUAAUUCAAUUUUUUUGGAUUUUUUAGUGAUUCACCGAAACAAACCAUUAUCAACUAAACAGUAAAUCUAAACAAUCAAGAUAUGCAAUCAAAUAAAUGAUCAAAAUAACCGAAAAAAUAACCUGUUGUCUCACAUGUCAAAUUAACGAUUAUCUUAACCCUAAUUAUCACAACAAAGAGUUCAAAAUAACUAAAAUCUGAUCUGAAUUCUUACGGAUCAAAUUAAUAGUUAUAUUGAUUCAACACUUAAAAUACUAUCGACAAAUCCCAGAAAUUAUUAUAAUAAAAAAAAUUAUCCGAAUUCUUACGGAUCAAAUUAGUAAUUACAAUAAUUCUAGGGAAUAUUAUGUGGAUAAUGCCUACAAAAUCCAUAAAAUAAAGAUCACCCCAAAACAUAAAACAAAUAGAAAAAUAGAAAUAAAACUACCUAAUUUCUUUUCCUUUUUCUUCCUGCUUUCUUCACCCACGGCCGAACGGCUUCGGUGGAUCGCCGGAGGUUGGGUCGCCGGCGUUCAGAGCUCCGGCGAGGACCGGCAAUGGGUAGAUCGGUAGCGAGCAGUCUGGCGGCAGCAGCAGGUCGCGGGUGGCGUCGGGACGAGCUCGCGGGUGCAGAGGGAUUCCGGCGGCGUGGUGGGCGGAUCGCGGACAGGGCAAGGGAAGCAGCGUCGUCGCGGAUCAGCUCGGCGGUGGCUUCGUCGGGUUAGUGGAGCGGUUCAGCAGCAGCGUCGGAAUCGUGGGUCGGCGCGGGGCAGUGAAGAUUGACUCCGGCAAGGGACUUCGGCGAAACAGGGCACCGGCGAGGGGGGUGUCGCAGGGCGCGGGGCCUGCUGUCGGGCACCGAGGAGACGCGAGCAACAACGAUGUGGGCUCUGGCGGCGUUGGGUCGCGGCAGGAAUAGCGGCACAACGUCAGGCGAGCGGCGCGGCGGAGAGGCAGGUGCGGGUGAGUGGGGCGGAGCACGUGGAUUGGCGAGGCAGCAACAGAAACCUGGCUAAAAGCGCCGGCGACAGGGCCGGCGUGGGUGCUCGCGGACGGACACUCCAAAAGGAGGGUGAGCGGUGAGGGCUCCGGUGUCGUCGGAUCUCGGCUGAAAACGAAAUUGCAGAAGCGGGGCAGCGAUUUGGGGAAGAUGAUGAACAGUAAAGGUCAAAUCAACCUUUACCGUUUCGGCCGCUUCCCCCUCAAACUCACUUCUCUUUUUUACUUUUUCCUUGUGUACUUUCUGCAGGAAAUUUUUUUUCUCUUUCUCCUUUCUUUUCUGAAUUUUUUCUCUAGAGAAGCCCCCUAUCUCCACGGGCCAAUUCCAUAAAAAAGCACGAACUUUAGGGUUUAGGACAAAUCUGGCCCGAACUUUAUUUUGUCUCGAAAAAAAGCACCAACUUUCACUCGUGUCCCAAAUCUGGCCUGCCGUUAACUCUCCUUCACGAUCAUCCAACUUGGCAUUUCCACGUCAGAUAAUUCUUCUCCUCCUUCUAACUCCUCGGUAAAAUUCUCCGACGAGACCGUCACCUCUCUCCCUCUCUCCCUCUCUAAUUUCAGAUAAAUAAACGCCAUUCUCCAUCUCUGUUCAUCCAGCUCUCUCUUCCUUCUCCGAGCUUCACUCUUUUCGAGCUCGUACAGCAGAACGAGAGCGCAACCCUAGAAAAAGGAAAAACGAAGAAAAUGAAGCGAGUGUAUGCAAAUCUCGCCCUCUUAUCUCUCUUGUCCAUCUCCUUCAGCUUCUUCCUCCCGACCGCCUUCUCUAGGACGAAAUUGACCUCUCCCACCGCGACCCUCGAUGUCUUCGGCUCGCUCCAGAACACCCGGGGAGUCCUCUCCUUCGAUCCUCAGUCCCAGACAUCCUUCUCCGAGCAAGAGCAGCGUCAGGAACAGACGUCGUCGGGCUCAUUCUCCGUCCGACUCCACUCGAGGGAGUCCCUCGUGAGAACCCCAUACAGGGAAUACAAGGCCCUCGUCCUGGCCCGGCUCGGCCGCGACUCGGCCCGGGUCGGUGAUUUCGUGACGGAGAUGGUGUCGUUCAGCGACUCCGGGGCUGUCAACAACGUCGCUCUGGGAUGCGGGCACGACAACGAGGGGCUCUUCAUGGGCUCGGUGGGCCUGCUCGGGCUGGGCGGCGGCCCCCUGUCCCUGACGAAACAGGUAAAGGCGAGCUCCUUCUCGUACUGCCUGGUGGACCGCGACUCCUCUGAGUCGUCGACCCUGGAUUUCAACUCGGCCGCGCCCGGCGCCGAGUCGGUGUUCGCCCCACUGGUGAAGAACGGCAAGGUGGACACGUUCUACUACGUGGGGCUAACGGGGAUGAGCGUGGGAGGGGAGAUGGUGUCGAUCCCGCCGUCGCUGUUCCAGAUGGACGAGUCCGGCGACGGCGGGAUCAUCGUCGACUCGGGGACGGCAUCUUCAACGCCACGGGCCGAGCCGGAAUCGUCGGAUCCCGAAUCGGAAUCAGAAUCGGAAUCGCAGGCCGACGAGCGCGCGGCCGCGGCGGGGGCGACGCCGGAGCCUCCGGCGAUGUAGAAGGGCGAGGGGAAGGUGGGGUUGAUGUACCACUCGAAGAGGAAGCCGGGUUCUAGGGUUUCGGGAUCUUCGGGCGGGGGCGCCAUCGGGCGGGGGGCAAAUUGGCUGAUCGGAAUCCGCUCCCCGGAAUUCCCUCUGGACGGAGGAUGGCCACGAGAAAAUCACGAGGCAGCGGCCAUUGACGGACUCCUCUCGUUCGUCAGUGAUCCAGCCAUUGAUGUUCUUCUGGUUCAGGAGGCGUUCUCAUGUGGAGGGAGGGAGGAUAGGCAGGGGAGGGGCAGGAGACGUUUUCGGAUCCGGUCGGAUGACCGUGAAGAAGAGUUAACGGCAGGCCAGAUUUGGGACACGAGUGAAAGUUGGUGCUUUUUUUCGAGACAAAAUAAAGUUCGGGCCAGAUUUGUCCCAAACCCUAAAGUUCGUGCUUUUUUAUGGAAUUGGCCCCUAUCUCCACAUACCUGAUUGCUUUUUAUAGGUGAAAAUAGGUAAUCUUCGUAGAAUAUUUUAUCUCGUUUUUUCAAUAUACACGAAGAUAAUCUAUAACCUCCCGAUCACCCAAAAUCUUCUUAUUUUCCUAAUCUCAUGAAUAUCUCUAAUGAUUUUAUUGCCUAUUGAUAAAGAUGAGAUUGCAAUGCGGUUUUCUCAAUCUUAAAAAAAAAUCAUCAAUAUUGCAUCAAAUUUCAAUUUUUCACAAGAUAAUUGAUUUAAAAAAAACAAUGGGCUUGGGCUAAUUUGCUCAUUUCACGGGCUUAGUCCGACUUGUCAAUUUAAGCUCAGAAACAUUAAUUCGAACCCAUCCACCAAUGCUCCAAUAAAUAAAAAAUGCAAAAUAUGCAAACUAAAUGUACCUAAAUUUAUAUACUGUGCAAUUAAUAUUUUUUUCCCUAAUUUUUGUGCUAUAAAUAACUAAAUGGGUUAUCAAAAUUUAGGUGUCAACAGAGCCUUUCCUCAAUAAAUAAAGAAUGCAAAGCUUCGGUUAAGGGGGUUCUCUUCGUCUUCGUCGAAAGAAAAAAGAAUGCAAAAGUGAAAAGUCAAAAAGUGGAGAGAGGGAAGGGCUUCUUUUCGCCAAAAAAAAUUGAAAAGUGAAAAAAGAUAAAACAGAGAAGAGGGUUUCAGUUUUUGAGGAAAAAAGAAGAAAAGUCAAAAGAGAAAGGGAAGAAAGUGAGGAAGUGACCGGUCAUUGGGAAGGAAAAGAGAAAGAAAAACAAAGAAAAAAGUUGACAAGACCCCUACUGUUGACCUUCUUCCCCCCAUCCGCAUCUGCUCGGCCAAUCAUCCGCUUCUGCUCUACACGGCGUCGCCGCUCGUCCGCCACCGCACCACCAUCGUGCGAACACCGCCGUAGCAGCAAGCCCGAGCCGAUCGCCGCCAGUAGCUGCCACGUCCCCUGCUCGACUCCUCCACGCUCGCGACCACCGCGCGCCUCCAGCCCGAGAUCCAACCACACUGCCGUGUGUUGGAGAAAUCUUUCCAGAAUAUUUUGAAGCUGACAAAACAUUUCUAUCAGUCUAGUCUGGAUAUCAUUGGUUUAAAGUCUCAAGACUUUGUAAUCUCAAGACUCAAGACUCAAGACUCAAGACUCAAGAUUAUUCUCACUGACAGUCUUUCUAAUCCAGUGGAGUAGGAUAUCCGAAGCCGAAGUAUAUGGUUGGGGAUUUGAUCCAAUCCUCUGGAAUAGAUCCCUUGGUUGGAUAAUCAUUUCGGAUUCUUUGAUUCUUAUCUAAGAUCAAUUGAAGAUCUGAUGGUCGACGAAACAUUCUUGGAAUGUUCUAUUCUUGGAAACCAAAAUCCUGAUUGUAUGGGCGAACAGGAUUGAUGGGCUAUCAUCAGAUUCCUUAAAUAGCUCGGAUGAUCUUCUUAAUUGAUUCCGUCCAACGGGUAGAUUGGAGGAAUUCCUUUGGUAAGUGCCAACGGCUAUGAUGGCAUAAAGGAGUAUAAAAGGAAGACGUUCUAGUUGUUUUAAGUGUGUGAUCGAUAGAUAAAUUCCAGAGUCUGAAGAACCUUGAUUGUUAGUCGAUACAGUUCGAGCGAAAUUGUAUACACAGAGAGUGUUUGUACUUGGUGAUACCUUGAGCGAGUGUAGUAGAUCAUCUACAUCGAGAAAUCAAGGAAGAUCAACACUGUAACAUCUCUUUGUUCAUAGUGGAAUCCAGCCAAUCGGCUGUCAGUGCAGAAGAGUGGACGUAGGCUUGAAUCAAGCCGAACCACUAUAAAUCUCGUGUUUAAUUCUCUCUUUUCUUUACUCAGUCUUACGAUUGAUUUUUUAAUCCUUCAUCUGUCUAAGUAUUGCGCAAACUGCAAGAAAAUUUUCAUAAACCUAUUCACCCCCCUCUAGGUACUCGUACUAGUAUUUUCACCGUGUCCCGCCGAGCACUUUUGCUGCCGAGCUUCCCCUUGCCGCCCUUCGACCCAGCAACCAAGCGACGCCAACAGGUCCCUAACCGGCGUCGCGCCUUCCUUUGCCAUUGACGCCAGCAGCCGCACCGUCUCCGCCCGAGCACCAGCACCCGUGAGCUUGCUGCCGACGCCACUGCACCUCCGCACAGCGACCCUCCUGCCCGCUACUGAUCUGCCUGCCGUCGCCCUCUCACCGGCGUCCCCCGCAACCGACGAACGCACCGCACGACCUGCUGCUGUCCUUGCUGCGCCAUCAGCUACUGCCGAGGCGAUCCCCUGUUUUGCUGCAGGUCUACCUCGCCGGACCUCCGACGGACAGCCCCAGCUCCGGCCACCAGGACCCAUCACCCUUGGCGAACCACCAUCGCAGCUCAGCCAUUACUGCUUCCUCGCCAUUUCUUCAAGUCCACCUUGAGUUAGACUCGGUAAAUUUUUAGAUAUUUGGUUUCAUGGUUUAUUUAUUUAUUUAUUUAUUAUUUUCAUUCCAACUUGAUUUGUUUUGAUUUAUUAUCCAACAAAAUUUGUCAUAUUAAAACAUGAUAAUAAAAAAUAUUAAGCCGCGAGACAUCAGGUUAAAUUUUUGAUUAAUUCGACUUUUUUAUGACAAAUUUAUGAAUUGCUUUGCAUCAUUGAAAUAAUAUGUCAUUGAUUUAUAUUGAUGAAGUUUCAAUAGAACAUAUUUUGGUGUGUUAUUUGCACAUCACAUAUCAUAUCAUGUGUCAUAUCUUGAAUUUAAAUACUUAGGUCCAUAUGCAUUUCAUAUUUAAAGCUUUGCAUUUUGAUUUUUUAGAUUCAUAUAGGAUUAGGUUAAUUUUCCUUUAAUAAAACAAAAAAGAACAAAAAAAUGUUAUUUAGGUUAUAUAGAUUUCAUAAUAUGCAUACCACAAGUUGCGCUUUAGUUAGAGGGUCAUAGGUUAAUGCUUUAAUAUUCUCGUCAUGUAGUUGUUUUUUAAAUAAAAAGCCAAAUAUUAGUAUUGCAUCAUUAUGUUAUUUUUUUUUUAAGAAUUAUUAAGUCAUUUUUUUUUUAAAAAAGAAGAAAACACAAAAGUCAUUUAUUUGGUUAGUUAAUAAGUUAGUUCAUAAUUAAUCCCAUUUCAUGUCAUCAUUGUUAGUGUAGGUUGCAUAUAUGUAAUAAAAAAAUUAUUAAAAAAUCAUAAAAAGAACAUGCAUAUAGAAUUACCACGUCAUACAUCCAAUAUCAUAUAGCACAUGCAUAUUUAGGAUUAUGUAAAUUAGAUUGCACACAUAUUGUAAUGAUUUAAAUUAUGUCACAUGAAUUGCAUCUCAUAUGUCAUUAAAGUAAAACUCAUGUAUAUCAAAUUUAGAUUAAGAUUGCAUAUAAUUAACAUUUAAAAAGAAAAAGAAAAAUUAAGUGUCAUGUUAUUUAGAAAUCAUGUUUAGGGCAUGUAUUUUGAUUAGCAUUUUUGUAAGUUUUCUUUAGAGAGUGGACCUUAAUCAAGUUGUAGUUUAUAAUUUCUUACAAUUUAUCACUUCAGUCGAUUAAAUGUUAUUUCAUUGAUUGUGCACCCGCAUGACCACCCUUUGCAUGUUAGUAGCUUAAGUUAAAAUUAAUCAAUACUGCUUGCAAAAUAAUUUUUUAAAUUAAAAUGAUAAGAUACUGAAAGGGCGUUAGAUUUUUCUAGCGUAACCAUGUCCCCGGAUCUAUUGAAUCUCUGGUUUACAAAAGUAAAGUAUUCUUACAUAUUUUACUUGAGUUUCUAACCAACCCUAAUUGGUUAGUAGCGGCUCCAAAUUGAGUAUAAUUGCAUGUUUAAAUGAGUUAAUUUCUUAGUGUCAAGUCGCGAUCGGUACAACUUUGGAGGGUUUGUGCCAAGUUUUCGGACUUAGUAAUCCAAUAGCAUUCUUUGAGUAAUUCACCCUCAGAAAAGUCGCGACAACCCUAGAUGGAAUUCCUUCAAUAAAAUUGACUGAAAGGAAAUAUAUUAUCGAAAAGCCAAGCCAUAUAAUGCACUCAUACAGAAAAAUGGCAUAUUUUGUCAAUGAGCAAUUCAGCAUGGCUUUUAUACCACGGACUCUAUUUCAAUUUCAUCUAUAAUAGCAAUAAUAAAUAGUACCAAUGAGAAAUCACAUGCCAAAGAAAAAUCAUGUGAUUGGCUCCAUCAUUCAUCUCUACAUAUAAACUACAAUCUCUUAGGCGUCAAUCAUUUAGAAACUUGCAUACAAUGGUUUGAUGACCCUCUCUACUUAUUCAGCAACUACUGUUAUAUGUAGUCUUGCCUGAUAAACACUCUCCUGGGUCGUAUACAUGAGCUGUUACAGAGACAGGAUGAAGAGGCAUUUGUUGCCUCCUAGUGAAGCAAUAUAAAAUUACAUCCUCCUACCAAAUGAGCAAAGCAUACAACUUAUCAAUCACCUUCUUUUGCUGCCAGACAAAUUAAUCAUCUUGGAGAGGAAGGUAAAUCGAAAUCAGUUGUAACUUCACAUAAAUAAUCAUAACCAUGUCUUACCAUUGCUCGUGAUAUAAUCAAAUGACUCGAGAGCUUCGGAGGUUUUCCUGUAGAUGUUUAGUUAUAAGACAUGCACAAGUGAUUGUUAACCCAUUUGUAGUUAGAACAAAAUGAGCACAAUCAUCAACUCUUUAGCAUUAUUGAAAGUUUCUAGACUUAGACUACUGCUUAAAGGACACAGGUGAAGCCCCAUUUGAUCUGGUUGUAUUGACACCUAAAUUUUGGUGACCCAGUUAUUUAUUUAUUGCAUUUAAAAAUUAGGGAUUAAUUUUUUAACCCCUAAAAAAAUUAUUAUUUAAUUAAUUGCAUAGCAUAUAAUUUUGGGUGCAUUUACAUUGGAUUGGUGACGGAUAGGUUCGACUUGGUGGUUUUAAACUUUAAUUUGGCAAGCUUGCGAAUAGAACAAAUUGGCCCAAGCUCAUAUCCUCGAGGAGAUUUUGCGGACUCAUCUUUGCAAGACUUCAGAUCUGAGAAACAUCCUAUUGCAAUUUUGAAAAAUCGGUGAAGAAUAUUCAUUUUUGCAAAGGAAAUCUAGAGGAGAUGGUGGAAAAUAAAAAGUAAUAUUGCGUGCGGAAAAGAAAUCUUGUGGAUAUUAAUUUGAAGAAUAAUAUAAAAACCUAAUCAUUGACCUAUAAAAUGGUUGUUCGCGUAGAGUUUUGAGGGGGUCACACAUUGAAUAUAUGGCCGCACAAGAGGGGUUCUAUUUUUUGGGAUCGUUCUUGGUCUCGAGGUUAAAAAUUCAGCACAAAAAAAAAAACUUUUCUUCUUUCUUUCUUUUCGUAGGGGGGUUUCAUUUUUGUUUUUUUUUAGGGGUUUCUUUUCUUUCGGGGGUGAAAGAAAACAAAAGUUGGGUUUCUGCAUAAGGGUAGUUUAUGAAUUUGGAGUUUUUUUUUUUAUGAUAUUAACUCAAAUAAAAAUUAGUAAUUAGUGUACAUUUUAUUAUUAUUUAAUGUAAACAAAAAUAAAAAUUAAAUUAAAUAACAAAGAUACAUUCGGUGAGUGGACUCUGCACGUUUGUACCAUAAUCUAUCUAGGAGUCUGCAAAGUUAUGAUGGUGCCGACUUUCAAUCUUGUUUUGUAGCCUCUAAAGUAAGCUCAAAAAGGAAAUUUUCAAUUUUGUCUUGAUGCUGCUUCUCCCCCCUUUUCUCAUCAAUGAAUUAGCAAAAGACAAUUUCAGGUCUUAGUACCGAUACCGAUAGAUCUAAGAAUUUUAGAUUUAUAUGUUUUUGGUCAAUAAAUGAGUCAUUCGAUCUGCAAGUUUUUUUCUUUGAGAUUAUUUUGUAAUUAUUCCAUUCUUGUUCAAUACAAAAAAAAAAAAUGUUGUCUUAGCAUUUUUAAACAUUUCUUGUUUUAUUCUUAAUAUAAUUAAAUUUCAUCUUUAAAAGUUUCAUAGUCAAUAAGGUAGCCUGUGAUGUUAUUUUGGAAAAUCUUUAAAGAUGGAAGUGAAAGUUCAUAAACAAGUGACUAUGUGAAAAAAAAUUAUUUAUGUUAUAUAUAUAUAUAUUUUUAUAGAUUACACUUGAUUAUUGAUUCAUAAAUUUACUUGACAACAUGUAAAAGAAUUAAGUUUCUUGGAAAUUUCUCUUUUCCACGAAACUAACUUCUAUGAAAGUAAAAGCUAACAAUAAAAAUAAAAGGGAAACCCGCAAUUGAAAAAAAAAGGACAUCCAAUUUUUUUAAUUAUGCAAGUAAAUCCCACGUAAAAAUGAAAAAGCUAAAAAGAGGAAAGUAACAAAUAUGGGGGGCAUCACUUCAAAUUGUAAUUGAAUUACUGGGGAUAAUUUUGUCUUUUUCAUGUUGGAUGAUUUUUUUUUUUUUAAUGUUGUUGGGUGAAUUUAGACGGACAUANNNNNNNNNNNNNNNNNNNNNNNNNNNNNNNNNNNNNNNNNNNNNNNNNNNNNNNNNNNNNNNNNNNNNNNNNNNNNNNNNNNNNNNNNNNNNNNNNNNNNNNNNNNNNNNNNNNNNNNNNNNNUCUCUGCCAAAUAUGGAGAGAAAGGCGAGCGAAGUGGGUUCUGAUGAUAUCUCCGGUGAAUCGAUCGAGGCGUAAGUUCUGAAGUAAUUUCUGUUUUUGCACUCUGGAUUUGAAAUCUGACGUGAAAAUUUGAAGUGUGCAGUCUUAUGAGCCGGUUAAAGUCCAUGGUAGAGCAAAAUGGGAAGUUCUAUAAGAAGAACGUAGAGUGUAUAUCGAGGUGAUUCAACUUGUUAUGCCUUUAUCUUUUGCUUGAUAUUCAUCCAAUAGAUUGAGCUCUCGGUGGGGUUUAUUUCCCUGAUGGGUUGAUUUUCUUCCGAUGGAUUGAGUCUUUAUUUCGCCGACAGGUUGCAGUUUGUGAAAGUCCCAGUUCUGUACCCCGUUCACACUAUUUCUCAUACAAUCUAGUCUCUUUUCCGAAGCCAAGUUCGCAGAAAGUUUGUAUCUUUAAUGAGAUUUCUCUCGAAAAGUUAGAUAGAAUCAACAGAAAUAUGGCCCCCAAAAGUUGUCUUUGGAAAUCCCACCCAAAUUGUAAAGACCCGAUUUUUACUGUACACAUAUUGUCCGUUUUGGACACUAAAUUCUCACGGUUUUGUUUUUCUUAGGGCAACCCAUACCAUCCAAGAAAACGUGUAUGUAUUUUUUUAUACAAUCUAGUCUCUUUUCCGAAGCCAAGUUCAUAGAAAGUUUGUACUUUUGAUGAGAUUUCUCUCGAAAGUAUACAGAAUCAAAAGAAAUAUGGCCCCCAAAAAGUUGUUGGAACAAUCCGAUGGAUACUGUGGAAAUCCCAUCCAAAUCUGAGAGAAAAUCUUCUCUCGCGCGAACAUUUGCUGGCUGUUGGUGCAUUUAGUCUCUGAAUCUACUAGGUCACAAGUGCUUGUCCCAGGGCAGCUUUCAUCAAUGAAAUUAGCUUGACCAGUUGAGAUUUGAAUUUUAACCUUGCCUAUCAAAUUUUACUGAUAUUGUCGAUACGUAACUUCUAUAAAACUUGUCGAGUUAACUGAUGAUUUAAUUUACUAGUUGUUCAGAGUUUAUCAGUAUUGUCAGUAUUAAGUGACUGGUAAAAUUGAAUGCAUGUUGGUUCAUUAUGUUUGUCAGCGAGUGUGGGGAAAUUUUGUUUUGAUUAAGCUCAAAAGCUCAGUGUUGAAUCAAUUCACCUUUCAAUAGACAUCGAGUUUGCAUUGCUCUUUAUUGACCAUACUCUCGAGAUUUUAUCUAUUGCUGUCGGGGAUGCUUGUUCUUAUCUUUCCCUUUGCAGGCUGAAUCAGACUCCACUAGUUGAAUACUCGAUAAUAAGCAUGCUGAUAACAUUAAUCUUCGGAGAAUACUGAAUGAAUCCUUUGCUUCAUUUUCUUCUUGGAUUCAGAUAUCGUGUGAGAGCAUGAUCGCCUGGCUUUUCUCUUUAUACCCAUCAUUUAAUAAAAGACGCCCUUGAUUGAGGCUUAAAUGGCUCCACCUGCUUUCUCAUACGCUUAUAUUAGCUUAAUCAUGGGUUACCAUAUUUGUUCAAUUUGCAUAGGGUUGUUUAAUUAAUUAAGCCGAUACAUGUUCUAU